UGAGUACAGCUCACAUUCAAA
rnacentral:piRNA from 1 species